CGUCCUGGAGUUUCUAAUGUGCGUCUGGUCAGUACUUGGCUCUCCCUUUUCUGUUCAGUGACUAUCUGUGCUUCAGCCCAAAGUAUCGAUUCCAGUUCUGCUAAUCGAAGUGUUUCCCUUGGAUCAAUAUCCAAAUUACUAAACACCUUAUUGUUUCGACCUUUCCAUAUAUACCAUAAUAUCCAUGCGAAUUGGUGAUCGUCCAUCUUUGGAGUAAUUCUCCAAAAGAGAUGAUCCAUGUUACCAAAAAACGAACCAGUAGGAAAAAAAGCUUGGAUUUGAUGGUAUCUUAGAUAAUGUCCAUACUUGACGUGCUGGAGGGCAUUCAAAAAAUACAUGAUUUAUUGAUUCUUCCGGGUCCCCACAUCGAGUACAGCGAAUAUCGCCUUGUAUUCCUCUCCCAUGAAGAUUCUUCAUUACCGCUAUACAACCUGAAAGGAGUUGCCAUAAGAAAUGUCUUAACUUCGGCGGA
rnacentral:lncRNA from 1 species